UCCAACAUCAAAAAGAAAAAUCUUUUGUUUGUUAAGGAAAAAAGAUGGAAGAACAAAAGAAUGGUUGGACCAAGUCGUCCAUUGAUCGUCCUAUUUGGUUCUUCAAUAGUGCAACUAAGCUACUUCCUUAAUGGUUGGGGUGCAACCCUGACAACCUGUUACGCUCGUAAGGAAGAUAUUUUCUUACGUGGAUAUAUUGGUUGGAACUCAAGGAUGGCUCUUGAGGUUUACAAGAAAAUUUUUCCCAAGGAACAUUGUUGGGACAGGCAUAAGGAAAUUCAACCUUCUCUUGUCAUACUUUAUUUUGGUGGAAACGAUUCAUAAGAUCCCGAUUUUCCUAAUAGUAGUCAUGUUCCUCUUCAUGAACAUGUUGAAAACAUGAGGAAGCUUGCACAUCAUAUCAAGGGAUAACCGAGGUAGAUCAAAUGAGGUCGGUUGAAAAUACGCAGAAGCAGGUGUUAAAUUAGGCCAAGAAUUAAACGUUCCAGUUAUCAAUUUCUUCAAAGCCCUUUACAAAAAAUCCGGUGUCUUUUUGUAAUCAAAUUUCCUACUAGUACUCUUUAAUUUUGGUUUUAUUAUAAUGUUGUAGUUGUAGUAUUAACAAUAAUAUUAUCAUAAUUCUUUUUGAACAAAAGGAAACUAAGUAGUAUAUAUGUGCUCCGACAGUGUCAUUUUCUCUUACAUAAUUAGUGAAUUUCGGUCUGUUUAGUCAAGUUUUGAGAA